AUUCAACAGACACUGGAAUGAAAUGACUGUCAUACAUGUAGAGAUGUUGAUUUCAGGAAAACUUGCAGUGGUCUCUUAUUUUCUUCCAGAGCUAUGGAUGUGAGAGCAAUUUAGAGAGCAAUUCUUCUAUUUUACAAUUUUUCCUCUGUGUCCUCAGUUAAAGAAACUUUAAAGUCUCUCAGGCCACUUUUAGAUGGAAACGGUCUCCAUAGAAAACUGAAAAGUGCUGUUUCGUUUUCAGUUUUUGUGGUGUGUUUACACAAAAACGCAAUGUGGUUGAAAACGCUGUAAUGUGCAUACCAGGUCGCUAGGUGGCGCGUGUUGGUGUGACCGCGCUCCCAUACAGACCAACAAUGCAUACGUAGAACAACUUUCAAAGACGUCCCCUCGUUCCCCUCCGUCGACCAAUUGGCACAUUAAUUAUUUGAUCCAAAUAAUUCAGACGCCUCCUCUGCUGAGCAGUAUGAUCCAUGAGGAUUCUGUACAGGUUGAAAUUGAGCUCCUACCCGUUCAGUAACGACAGCGCAUGUCUAGCAUGGUUGUUGUUGUUAUUUUCAAGGAAGCUGCGCAUGGCUAUGAUGUCAUAAGCGUGAGCCAACGUGAGCCAGGACGUCGAAGGUUUGACUGUUUUUCACUUUAUGUUUUCAUCUCCUGAAAAUGCAGUUGCCGUCUAAACGGACCCCCCUAAAUGAAACUAAAUUUUUCCGUUUUCUAUGCUGAGACCGUUUCUGUCUAAAAGUGGCCU